UCUGGGGCACAGUGAUGGUGUCAUGCAAAGUGCUGGGAGAUAUCGUGUGCUACCUCAUCCCGUGGUAUCAUCACCCAGCACCGUGCGUGUCUGUCGAGAGCCACGAG
rnacentral:pre_miRNA from 13 species